ACUCCUACGGGAGGCAGCAGUGGGGAAUCUUAGACAAUGGGGGCGAACCCUCGAUCUAGCCAUGCCGCGUGUGUGAUGAAGGCCUUAGGGUCGUAAAGCACUUUCGUCCUGUGAUGAUAAUGACAGUAGCAGGUAAAGAAACCCCGGACUAACUCCGUGCCAGCAGCCGCGGUAAUACGGAGGGGUUAGCGUUGUUCGGAAUUACUGGGCGUAAAGCGCGCGUAGGCGGACUACUAAGUCAGGGGUGAAAUCCCGGGGCUCAACCCCGGAACUGCCCUUGAUACUGGUAGUCUUGAGUUCGAGAGAGGUGAGUGGAAUUCCGAGUGUAGAGGUGAAAUUCGUAGAUAUUUCGGAGGAACACCAGUGGCGAAGGCGGCUCACUGGCUCGAUACUGACGCUGAGGUGCGAAAGUGUGGGGGAGCAAA
rnacentral:rRNA from 1 species